rnacentral:lncRNA from 1 species
UGCUCUUGCAGAUCAUAAGACAAAGAUUCAUGAGCUGAUUCUGUCUGCAAGUUUUUCUGUUGUUCUUCUUGUGUUGUACUCUUUGGUUCUUUUUCUGCUGAGUCUUCUUUUGCAACCUGUGACACUGAAACAAUUCUACUCGGUUGCACCGGUUCAAGACAAGUUAGUUCAUCAAAGGAAUUAUCAAAAUUAGAUUCAGAGUGAGGUAAGAACAGAGAAAACUCUUG